GGAAUACAUACACCAUAUAUACAUAAAUAUACAGCAUUAUACAGACUAUGGGGGAAUACAUACACCGUAUAUACAUAAAUAUACAGCAUUAUACAGACUAUGGAGAAUACAUACACCAUAUAUACAUAAAUAUACAGCAUUAUACAGACUAUGGGGAAUACAUACACCGUAUAUACAUAAAUAUACAGCAUUAUACAGACUAUGGAGAAUACAU